rnacentral:tRNA from 1 species
GUAGCUCAGUUGAUAGAGUGUUUGCCUGGCAUGCAAGAAACCCUGGGUUCAAUCCCCGGC